GUCCUAUGUAGUGUAACUGCAAUAAAAUCAUCAGAGAAUACUAUUAGCUUUGAAAAAAAAAAAAAAACUAAAAGCUUUAUUACAAACCAAGCUUUGAAAAUAGGGGGGAUUAGGCGGCUGAAAGGGUCCCACAAUGGUAAGAAGAAAAGGUUUCAUGCUAAUGAGGUUAAUGCCCUUUGUAUCUCGGGCCUCCACAUCUUCAUUACGCGCUAUCUCCGGCUGCACGGAGCGGCUCAGAGAGCCGCAAUCCACUCCAACGCCCCCCUUCCCGGCCCAAAGAAGGAUUUGAUAGCAGCUCUGUUCAAACUAGAUAAUUAUAUCUUUUCAAGUCGGAAUUAAGAUAAAGAAAGUGAAGCAGAGGCGGCUCGCCUUGAUCCACUGCAAACAAAUUUGGCGCACUUUCGAGUCCUUCCCCCGCCUCAAAAAGGCUGGACAGUCAGCUUAUUAGCCGCUCGUUUGCUUUAUUAAUUCAUCUAUUUAAAGUGGCAGGAUUAGAGGGUCUAAUGUGGACGCGGGCUGCCGUGGCGCCGAGGAAUAUAAAUAUUUGCGAGAUGCCAUCCCACGAUGACUAUCUGGGCGCGGGGCGCGGGGCAGGGUGCGGGGCGCGUGUGCUGUGCGGCUGCGUCCCCGUGUCCCCGUCGCAGUGCGCGCUUGCUGGGCUGGAGCCCCUUGGGGAGGGGAGCGUGGGAGCUGUGUGCUGCAGGUCUGUGUCCUCCCUCGCGGUUCAUGGGUACCAGGCCUAGAUAACCCUGGCAGGGCUCAGUGGGCAUCCAGGGUCAGGUUCGGCUUUUCUCCCUACACCUGGAGCUGCACGCAUGUUGCCUUGAGUCCUGCCUGUUAUCCCGGAUGGCAAUGUAGGUUACACGUCUGAUCGAUGACCCGCUCUCUUGUCAAUUGUGUGCGUUCACCUGAGCUGAGUGGGUUUAGGGAGCCGAGAGGCAUGGGUUCUCCGUUAAUAUUUCCCCAAGAGUCAAACGGAAUGUACAAGGCAAGGGUGCCCAACCUCAUUCUCCUUCCUGCGAGGUACAGAGGAGCUCGGCGCGCGUUUCUCAUUUGGGGUCCAGUUCCUCAGGGCGGCAAAGGGCCUGGUGGACAUCCGCUCCACCAGAGAGGGACCUUUGAACUACAGGUGCCCAGAACAGUCCUGGCCCAAAGUCAAGGCUCAAGAAAAUGUUUUCUGAAAAAAUAAAUAUACUAAAGAAGAGCCAAGAGGAGAGGCGCCUGGGUGAAGUUUCAGCUUAUCAAAUCAUUCCAUUGUCAGUGAUCUGAGCUCCUUAAGAUCAGAAACAUAUACUUUGGUGGUAACCAUUGGGCGGAUUCAUUGAAAUUCUUUCCUUGUUCUUAAGUAGUGUUUCCUAACAUGAAUGCAUGACCUAGUUUUUUUUUUUUUUUUUUUUUUAAAAACAAGUUCCUUGAAUAGCUUUUGAGAGAUUCAGUCCCUACUGACAAAGUUCCAUAUAGCCAAAAUUAUAGUUUUUCCAGUAGUGACAUAUGGAUGUGAGAGUUAGACCAUAAAAAAGGCUGAGCACUGAAGAAUUGAUGCUUUUGAAUUGUGGUGUUGGAGAAGAUUCUUGAGAGUUCCUUGGACAGCAAGGAGAUUGAACCAGUCAAUCCUAAAGGAAAUCAACCUGAAUAUUCACUGGAAAGACUGAUGCUGAAGCUGCAAUACUUUGGCCAGCUGAAGCCAAGAGCCAACUCAUUAAAAAAGAACCUGACGCUGCAAAGAUUUGAGGGCAGGAGGAGAAUGGGGCAGCAGAGGAAUGAGAUGGCUGGAUGGCAUCACUGAGUCAAUGGAUACGAGUUUGAGCAAACUCCGGGAGACAGUGAAGGACAGGGAAGCCUGGCAUGCUGCAGUCCAUGAAUUGGAGAUGACUUAGUGACUAGAAAACAACAAUAACAAAGGUCUAUCUUUAGAAUUGCUUCUCAGGUCCAGGAAGGUAUAGGGUUAUGUCCAGAUAAGGAACCAACAUUUUAGUCCCAGACCAUCUCUCAGAGGAAAUGCAGUGCUUUUGAUGAUUUUCUUUACUCAGGAAAAUGACACUUUAAAAUGCUUACCCUGUGGAUAUUUUAGAUGGUCUAAUAUUGGCCUUUCACCCUUAGUCACAUCAGUAUCCCUGAUGAAGGAGGCUACUCCUAAAGACACAUGUUGGAAGAAAGACAAAUUUUGAUGUUUGAUGUUUUACCCUUCAAGUAAAAAUUACGCUCCUGGAAGAUUCAAGUGGAUUCUGUGGGCUUGUGUACACUCAGGCAGUAACCCCAAGGGUUUACAUAGUCCAGUUUGUGAAAUUCAUGCUAAUAACUCUUUUCUGGAAAAGUAUCCAUUUUCCCUGCUUCUCUCCUGCAAACUUAUUCCCGGAUGCACCAGCAACCUCAGUAUUGGGUCCUUCUGAGCAAUGAUACUGAAAUAGAAAAAUAAAAUUACUCUUGGCUAAUAUAUACUCUUUAUU
rnacentral:lncRNA from 1 species